UGUAUGAGCAGACUUGAAAUCCCUGCACCUCACUCAGAGACGUUAUAAUUUCAGUCGUUUACUCAAGAGUGGGGAUUUGUGUUGCAGAGUUCUUGGCUGGCGUUCCCCGUGGCAGCGCAUCGAACCCAUGACGUCACGCACUGUAUCUGACUGUAUGCAGAAUGUUCCGCUGAGCGCGUGCUGCUCUGAGCACAUGGAAAGACGUCGAGAUUUAGCUGCAUGCGAAAGUGCGCUAUUGUGCCCUCAAAGAAAUUUACAACUCUUAAUAUGGAAUACUCCCCAAGUGUACACCUAAGAAGUGUGGCAAUUCGAAGAAUUGGUUUGUCACAGCGCCAGACUGAAGAAUGACUUUGAACCGGAUUGACCCGGGCUGGUGUGGAACCCGAAACGGCGGGGUUCGGAGGCGCCCCGCCGGUCUGGCCUCGGAGGACGGAGCGUCGUGUGCUUGAGCCGGCCGUCCCGUCCGUGAGGGUGGCCAUGUGACCUUUGACCCACCUUGACCUUUCAACCCAGCGGAAUGCUGCUUCUUCAUCUCUGCCCAAGUGGAGGGCCCAUUCCUGAGGGGCGAGGACCAGCUAACGUGAUGUGACAUCACUGAAGAGCCAGGACAUGUGAUGCGCUUUUAAUCCAGACACGGAACACACACGCCAGUCCUCUGUGACAUCAGCGCGUUCGUCUCCAGGGACGGAAUAACGCGGUGCACCGGACGCGGUGUCGGGUGCCCGUCCCUGGACACAGUCUGCUGUCCGAUCCCCAAUGCCAGGUGGAAGUUUCCGGAAGAAGCACGGCCGUCGAAACACAGCGCCGUUCCGAGCGCGUCGGCCCGUUAACGUUAGGCAACCACCGUUCCGCCCGAACGCCGGGCGGCAGAGCUUGCUGCCGUCCGAGCAGCCGGAGCGGUUGGGCUCGGUUGCCCCGGCGACGGUCUCGUCUCAGUUGCCGCUGUAGUUCCGUGCCGACGUCUCUGCUGUCGAGCGGACAGGCCUGCGUGUCUGAAGUGAAGAACAGAGCGUGUGAA